CAAAGGCUACAAAUUAUAUAAUCUAGAUACUAACAAGCUUGUGAUAAGUCGGGACGUGGAGCUUGAUGAAGAAAGAGAAUGGAAUUUUUGUUCUCACGAGGACUUUAAUUCCAUUAUUCCAACCGAAGAAGAAGAACAAAGACCUACAGCAGAGGAUGCCCAGCGAGAGCUAACUACUCCACCUACCUCGCCAACAGCAGUUCAAGGGACUUUAAUUCCAUUAUUCCAACCGAAGAAGAAGAACAAAGAUCUACAGCAGAGGAUGCCCAGCGAGAGCUAACUACUCCAUCUACCUCGCCAACAGCAGUUCAAGAUGACUCGUCACCAUCGUUUCUGAAUGAAAGGAGCGAGGAACGUGCAAGGAGUUUGGAAGACAUUUAUGGAGAGACUGAAAGGUUAGAGGACCUAACUCUUAUUUGUCUAUUUGCUGAUU
rnacentral:lncRNA from 1 species